rnacentral:rRNA from 1 species
CCUACGGGAGGCUGCAGUGGGGAAUAUUGGACAAUGGGGGCAACCCUGAUCCAGCCAUGCCGCGUGUGUGAAGAAGGCCCUCGGGUUGUAAAGCACUUUCAGUGAGGAAGAACGCCUGGUGGUUAAUACCCAUCAGGAAAGACAUCACUCACAGAAGAAGCACCGGCUAACUCCGUGCCAGCAGCCGCGGUAAUACGGAGGGUGCGAGCGUUAAUCGGAAUUACUGGGCGUAAAGCGCGCGUAGGUGGCUUGAUAAGCCGGUUGUGAAAGCCCCGGGCUCAACCUGGGAACGGCAUCCGGAACUGUCAAGCUAGAGUGCAGGAGAGGAAGGUGGAAUUCCCGGUGUAGCGGUGAAAUGCGUAGAGAUCGGGAGGAAUACCAGUGGCGAAGGCGGCCUUCUGGACUGACACUGACACUGAGGUGCGAAAGCGUGGGUAGCAAACAGGAUUUAGAUACCCUGGUAGUC